GAUGAACGCUAGCGGCAGGCCUAACACAUGCAAGUCGAGGGGUAGAGCACUUCGGUGUUUGAGACCGGCGCACGGGUGCGUAACGCGUAUGCAAUCUGCCUUACACUAAGGGAUAGCCCAGAGAAAUUUGGAUUAAUACCUUAUAGUAUAUUGAUGUGGCAUCACAUUAUUAUUAAAGAUUUAUCGGUGUAAGAUGAGCAUGCGUCCCAUUAGCUAGUUGGUAUGGUAACGGCAUACCAGGGCAAUGAUGGGUAGGGGUCCUGAGAGGGAGAUCCCCCACACUGGUACGGAGACCCGGCCCAGACUCCUACGGGAGGCAGCAGUGAGGAAUAUUGGACAAUGGGCGCAAGCCUGAUCCAGCCAUGCCGCGUGCAGGAUGAAGCAUCUAUGGUGUGUAAACUGCUUUUGUACGGGAAGAAACACCUCUUCGUGAAGAGGCUUGACGGUACCGUAAGAAUAAGGACCGGCUAACUCCGUGCCAGCCGCCGCGGUAACAC
rnacentral:rRNA from 1 species